AACGAACGCUGGCGGCAGGCCUAACACAUGCAAGUCGAACGCACCGCAAGGUGAGUGGCGCACGGGUGAGUAACACGUGGGAAUGUACCCUUUGGUUCGGAAUAACGUUUGGAAACGAACGCUAAUACCGGAUGAGCCCUACGGGGGAAAGAUUUAUCGCCAAAGGAGCAGCCCGCGUCUGAUUAGGUAGUUGGUGGGGGUAAAGGCCUACCAAGCCGACGACCAGUAGCUGGUCUGAGAGGAUGAUCAGCCACACUGGGACUGAGACACGGCCCAGACUCCUACGGGAGGCAGCAGUGGGGAAUAUUGGACAAUGGGCGCAAGCCUGAUCCAGCCAUGCCGCGUGAGUGAUGAAGGCCUUCGGGUUGUAAAGCUCUUUCGCACACGACGAUGAUGACGGUAGUGUGAGAAGAAGCCCCGGCUAACUUCGUGCCAGCCGCCGCGGUAA
rnacentral:rRNA from 1 species